UCCUUCAUAGAAACUGAAUCCUGAAUUUCCUUUGGGAGGUCAUGUGCUUUGAGUAGCUUAAGCCAAUUAGUGUAUUCCAUUCUCUCAGGUCUCAGUGAUAGGUUCCAGUUUCCUAAGAGACUUAAGCUGGGCCAAUCAGCUGAACCUCAGAAUAUUUCCUGGGAAUGCUGGGAAAUAGCUUGUCUCUCAGAAGCUGCUGGCAGUCACAUUAGGAACACCAGCAAUAAAGCUGGUGCUUUCUACAGAGGACAAAGUUGAAAGACAGAAAGAAACGUUGUCAAGCCUCACCUGGAUUCAGCCUCCCCAGAGGUAAGCUUUAGACCCAGAUGUAACAAAGUGACCUGCUCUUUGGCCUGAGCUAUUAAAGGAGACCCAAAGUCCACGCCUGGGGAAGGCUGGGGAGAUGGCAAGCUGGAGUGUGUUCUCACCGGAAAGCACAGAGGAUGCUGAGAGCAACCAGGAGCAUCACCAGGGAGGAGCUAUAGCCCACAGUGUACAUGACCUUCAGCUUCAGCAGGUACUGAUUCACAGACUCCUAACAUCUUGCCUUUGGAAAAGGUAUGGGGAUCAUCUGACGACAAUGCAAGUUUUCUGUCCCAGGUGUGGAGCCCUUUGCCAUCACCCUGAAUUCAAGACUUGCUUGAAUACCUCCAGGGAUGCAGUGCUCACUGCUUCUUGACAUAGUAAUUCUGGAUACAUUUGUGAAAAAUAUUAGAUUUUUAUCUCAUGUGAGACUAAAAAUCUAUUACUUUCAAAACUGCAUCUAUUGGUCCUUUUUCUGCUUCUCAAGCCACUUAAAAGAAACUGAAUUUGCCUUAUACCUAUUAUUUUAAAAUAAUGUCUCAUUAUUUUAAAAAUAAACUUUGCAUUUGAGAAAUGCUUUAGACUUCCAGGAGAGUUAUGAAAAUGAGACAG